GUGGGGAAUCUUGCGCAAUGGGCGAAAGCCUGACGCAGCCAUGUCGCGUGAAUGAUGAAGGUCUUAGGAUUGUAAAAUUCUUUCACCGGGGACGAUAAUGACGGUACCCGGAGAAGAAGCUCCGGCUAACUUCGUGCCAGCAGCCGCGGUAAUACGAAGGGGGCUAGCGUUGCUCGGAAUUACUGGGCGUAAAGGGCGCGUAGGCGGACAGCUUAGUCAGAGGUGAAAGCCCAGGGCUCAACCUUGGAAUUGCCUUUGAUACUGGCUGUCUUGAGUUUGGGAGAGGUGAGUGGAACUCCGAGUGUAGAGGUGAAAUUCGUAGAUAUUCGGAAGAACACCAGUGGCGAAGGCGACUCACUGGCCCAAUACUGACGCUGAGGCGCGAAAGCGUGGGGAGCAAACAGGAUUAGAUACCCCUGUAGUCC
rnacentral:rRNA from 1 species